rnacentral:rRNA from 1 species
GAUGAACGCUAGCGGCAGGCCUAAUACAUGCAAGUCGAACGGUAUUCAGAUGCUUGCAUUUGAAGAGAGUGGCGCACGGGUGCGUAACGCGUAUGAAACCUACCUUUAACAGGGGGAUAGCCUCUCGAAAGAGAGAUUAAUACCGCAUAAUAUCGGGAGUGGGCAUCCACAUUCGAUUAAAUAUUUAUAGGUUAAAGAUGGUCAUGCGUGACAUUAGCUAGUUGGAGAGGUAAUGGCUCACCAAGGCGACGAUGUCUAGGGGAUCUGAGAGGAUGGCCCCCCACACUGGUACUGAGACACGGACCAGACUCCUACGGGAGGCAGCAGUAAGGAAUAUUGGUCAAUGGACGGAAGUCUGAACCAGCCAUGCCGCGUGCAAGAAGAAGGCCCUACGGGUUGUAAAUUGCUUUUAACGAGAAUAACAGUAACUACGUGUAGUUGUAUGAAAGUAUCGAUAGAAUAAGGAUCGGCUAACUCCGUGCC